GGCGGGGCACACCCUGACUGUUUUGUAGAAGCAAUGCACACAUUGCUCUAUCCAAGGACAAGGGCUAGAUAUGAACCAUGAGAACUUGAUUGUUUGGACAGUAACUGUGGGAGGCUUUCUUAGCCUGGGCUCAAGGCCUGAGAACCAGGAUUGUAGUAGAUAAAGGAUGGUAACUAAGUAUAUUAAUCAACGUCAUACAUUCCUUUGUGUAGCAGUGUGUAAUGCUUAGGGGGAGAAAUAUAAUAAAAGGGGAAGGUGGAAGGCGGGGGGGCAGAACAGCCCAUCUCCGCUGACCAGCCUGCUUGCUUGCAUAAAGCUGUGUUCUGUCUCAUGAUUGAACCGUAACAACUGGCGCCCAAACGUGGGGCCCUCAGCACUCACCUCGCCCGGCAAGGGUUUCAGACGCGUCACUCAUCCGCUUCGUGGAUCCCGGGCUGGUGGACACUGGAGCUGACGUUACGGUGAUUCGUGAUCUGGAGUGGCUGGACCGUUGUGGGUUCCAGCUCGGUGUGUGCGACCGGCACUUAAACAACAUGGCAUGGCACCAGGGGCUGUCGAAUCCCAUACCAGAGUUUCAGCUGACCUUGGAGGAGACCGCGUUGCCCCCCGAGUCGACAACGAUGGGACGGAAACGGAGGAGGCGUAGCGUCCCAAGCCAGCCCGUGACAUGGGGAGCAGUAAAAGCAUUGG